CCUACGGGAGGCAGCAGUGGGGAAUAUUGCACAAUGGGGGAAACCCUGAUGCAGCGACGCCGCGUGAGUGAAGAAGUACUUCGGUAUGUAAAGCCCUAUCAGCAGGGAAGAAAAUGACGGUACCUGACUAAGAAGCCCCGGCUAACUACGUGCCAGCAGCCGCGGUAAUACGUAGGGGGCAAGCGUUAUCCGGAUUUACUGGGUGUAAAGGGAGCGUAGACGGCCUGCCAAGUCAGGUGUGAAAGGCCAGGGCUCAACCCUGGGACUGCAUUUGAAACUGGCGUGCUGGAGUGCCGGAGAGGUAAGCGGAAUUCCUAGGGUAGCGGUGAAAUGCGUAGAUAUUAGGAGGAACACCGGUGGCGAAGGCGGCUUGCUGGACUGUAACUGACGUUGAGGCUCGAAAGCGUGGGGAGCAAACAGGAUUAGAUACCCCUGUAGUC
rnacentral:rRNA from 1 species